CUCCUCCUCCACCCGCGGCCACGGAGACCGCGUGCUUCUCUUCCUCGCUCACUCCUCCUCGCGUCCUCGCAGGAGCGACUCCUCGCUGCCGCCGCUCCUCCGCGUCCUCGCCGGAGCCGACGCGGCCGUCCUCCUUCUUCCCCACCGCCGCGGCUGUCCUCCUUGCUCGCUCCUCCUCCGCCCCGCUGCCGGCGCCGCCGCGGCCGUCCUCCUCGCUCGCUCCUCCUCCGCCCCGCUGCCGGCGCUACGCCGCGUCCUCGCCGGAGCCGACUUCGGCCCCUUCUCCGGCGCCGGAACCGACCUCGACCUCGGCCCCUAGAGUACAAGUCCCAAAAAUCCUGUGUCUUUCCUUAAUCUUUUCUGUACGUGUGGGAAUUUUAAUCUUCUUCCUUCUUGAGCAUUGGCCUGUAGCAUUUGGUAGUUGAAAACACGACCUGAAAACAAGUGACCAUGAUUUUCCUUUUUUGUUGAAGUUAGUGAACAAUCGGAUAAUUACAUUGAGGUGAUCUUCUUUUGUGAACUUUUGAACAAAAUUUUUAACAACGGUUGCUGUAAAUUAUUUACUAUGGAAGCAAUUGUAUGAUGCUGCUGUUGCAAAUGAAAACUUGAAAAUGUGACUACAUUGCAGGGUCAUAGAAGCAAUUGUGCAGGGUCUGCCAAUUGUGCAAUUUUUUUGUUUGUCAGCUAGCAAUUGGUUGACAUGCAUAUCACGUUUUGUGACUUACUGAAAAUGUCUGCCAAACUGCUGCAUGUUACAUUUUGUGAAUUUUUCAAUGACUUCGAAUGUGGCUCAAAUACAUUCUGCCUUUGAUUCCACUUUAAUUCCCCUAUCGAUGUCAACAGCAUAUGACCAUGUCAACAAUCUCCACUGGUUGAAUUAUCUGCAGGAAAUGUACUUGAAUUAUAUCCAGGAACUAACUAAUAAUUCACAGCUGUUAUAAUUUGCAGCACGUGUGUUUGAUUUGAUGCAGGUGAUCGUCAAUAGGUCCAGUGGGCUGGAGCUACCAAUUCAUCUAGGUCUUGCCCUGGUAAUGCUCCACUUCCAAAAUUACCUGACAACUACAACUUCUUGGUGAUAGCUGCUGCGUUGAAAGAGUCUGGUCUUGGAUCUUCUUGGUUUUGACUUGACCAAAAGCAAUGGAUAGUCAGGCACAUAUUCCUUUAGAAGAAACAUCUCUGCAUGCUUUGCUUUGUUGAGUUGAUAAAGUGGGUCAAAACGGGAGUCCUAAUGUGCAAGCAGCUGGUCAAGAAGCUGAGGAUAUCCCAUUCCAAAAAAAAAGUGCCUUCUUUGUAUGUAAUCAAGUCAUGCAGACUUAAUCUUUGAUCAAGCCAUGGUCGGUAAGAAAUUAAUUCGCUAUUAUAUAUGCUAUUAUGAACACUAGCUUGACUUCUAUGCCUUGACUCUUCUGGACAGAUGACAGAUUUUGUUACUAUCUGAAUUUGUCGUAUGAAAACGACAAAUUUCAUUCUCACAGGCAUAAUUGUAGACUAUCAAUACUUUGAAAAGGUAGCUUUGUCCAGAGGUUCGUAGUAGGUAUAACAUUUUUUUUCUCGAAUACGGUAGGCUGAUAGCAUUUAUCUACUCAUUUUGGUGAUUUCAGUUAGUUGUGACAACAUGAGCAGCCGUCAAGAAGAAGAAAGAGCAUGAAUUCCAUGACUAAAUCUUGUGGUCUAUUUUGUAAAUCCAUUACCUCAGUAAAACUUUUAGCACCCGAUCUGCAUAUCAUAACUGAAUAUCCACCUAUUAUUGUGGCCUACCAUUUCAUUUUCCAAUUCUAUGCUCUAGAAGUUUGGAACUACUACAUGCACAAUUUCAUUUUUCUUACACUGAUUCUGCUGCAUGCAUUUUCUUAUAAAGAGACCUUUUCAAUGGCAUAAGUUUUCAUCUGAAUUCUCAAUGCAUCUUGCUUGAUGGAUCCAUUCAGCAUAAUCUGAUGGUACGAGGCAUGCACUUCAUAAGUAUGAUGCAAGUUAUGUUAGUUCGGGGUUUGCCGUUAAGAUCAUAGUUAGGGGGGAAAUAUUUUCAGUGUUGCUAGCUAGCUCGAGGGAAUGGUAUGUUUCGAAACAAACAAGCCAUCUGUAUUUGCAGUUUGAUAUUCUGGUUUGCCUCUAAAAUCUUGGGUACAUUCUUAGCAGAAAUGCUUUUCAUGCGUUUUAAGAAGAGAGCUUCCAUAUAUUUUAGUUAUAUCUGUAUUUGCUGUUCGAUAUUUUAUUUUCGCAAGUUCAGUUCAUGUAUGGCUUUAAGAAGUUUUGUGGGACAAAAUCUCUAUGUAUACUGUGUUUUUCUGAACAAGGUGAAAUAAUGUUGCUCCAUAUGGAGAUGGGAUAUGCCCUGUCUAGCUAAGUUAUAAGCUGUGAAUUGUAGAUUUGUAGAAGCUGUUCCAGAAUAGUUUACUCUUGUUUUACAAUGUCAAGUCUGGUUUAUGAGGUUUGUAUCUAAUUCAAAUUAAUGUUUUUUUUUGCGGGGACAAAUUAAUGUUUUUUUAGCAAACACAUAUGCUUCAGUUUUAUUAUCCUUGAGCAACCAAGUUUACAAUUGUGUCGUUUUGAGAAUGCAAUACUGCAAGAGUAUUUGACAAGACUUACUUGAUUUUCAUGGAUAUGCAGUCAGACACAGGAGUCUAGCACUUUGAGAUGUCCUUCUCUAGGAGUGUAAAUUGACACUUGACAGUUUUACGUAUUUUGUCAACUACUCAAACCAAUAUCAAUUUGUAUUGCAGAAUAUUUGUAAAAAAAACUCAAAUUUGCAUGUGAUUAGUGGUUGAUAAAAUUUUGCCUUCAGUUUAGUUCCUUUCAUGCUUGACACCGUUGAUUCUUGUUUAAAUUUUUACUUCUCUUCAAACUUUCACCUCUUAAAAUGUAUUCACUUCAGGAAGCUAACCAUCUUGCUGUCUGGAUUUUGAUAUGUAUCUGUUCAUGUAAUCCACAAAAAGACUUGGCCCAUAAGGCCACUGCUAUUAACAUUCUUGCCCCCCACAAUAAUAUGGAUAUAUUUCAUAGUUCAAAUUGAAGGCUUACACUAAACAAUUAUAGGCGUAUUCGGUGGAUGCAUGACUCAAGUUCAGUUUGGAUGGAAUGUACACCCUCUCUUCAAAUUCAGCGUGACUGUUUUUGUUCUCAGUAUCUAAGCUAAGACGUGCAAUGUAUUCUGCUCGGUUGUAUGAACUGGAGUACCGGCAUUUUUUAAAAAAAAAAUUAGUUUGCAUGGUAAUGGAAAUGAAGCCUGAUUUCAUCUC